CAGGGUGUGGGGGGCAUGUGAGCUCCUCAGACACAACAGAGUUUUGGGCAAAGCUCCGGACAGAUGGAUGUCUUGCAUGUAGGACAACAUCUUUAUGAAGAGCAGGGGGUGUGUGUCUACAUGUAAGGGCACUUUGACUGAGCCUGGUGGGACAUGUCUUGAGAACCCGUUUGGCAUCCAUGUGGAUCCUGGCUGUGAAGAUGCUGAAGGCACAUCACAUCGGACUCUGGGUCUCUCUUCCUGGGCUUGACAGAUGCAGCUCUUAGAGCUGAGAGCCGGACCUGCCUCCGGGAGCCCGGCUUCCGUGCCGGGCUGUGCCGCCACUGCCGUUCACAUGGCUUCUUUACGGGAGCAGCUCCUUUGUCUCAGGGAAGGACGGCUUUCCUGAAUCCCCCAGCUUUGCCCAGCCCCUAUCUGAGUGUAUCAGGAUUGGGAUGAAACCACAGCGAGGGAGAGGGGUGGGGAGGUAGAGCAGCUCCGUCUCUCCCUGGGCUGGGUAGGCUCUGCUUGAUUAGCAUGAGAAUAGAGAGACUUUCCUGCAUCCUCCCUCAGGGAUGGAGAGGAAGGAGCAGAGGCUCUAGCUCCAUCCUACCCCAUCAGAGCUCCUGGGACUGAAAAUGACUACCGCCCCACUCCUCCGAUCCCCGAGGACCCAGAACCCACAGUGUUGAGAAAAGCUUUGACGGAGCCGGCGGGUGGAUCUCCACUCCAGAUUUUCCAGCCGUCCCUGCCCCCCCACCGCUCGGAGCAGGAUGCCGAGAUGGCUGGUGAUGCAGAAGAAGGAUCACUGGCACACAGGGACCGAGGUGCCAGACCACGGGUUCUGGGACCACAGUGGUUCCCUCAUUCUCCUCUGAGAACACAAAAAGGCAGACGGACCCACAUGCCCAUGAGGAAAUGUUCAGCUGUCCUCUAAGGCUCGGGACGUCCAGUCGCCACCACGUGGGGUAAACCAGGAG